AGAAUUCAGCGAGUCAUCGAAUCUUUGAACGCACAUUGCGCCCGCCAGUAUUCUGGCGGGCAUGCCUGUCCGAGCGUCAUUU
rnacentral:rRNA from 1 species